rnacentral:lncRNA from 1 species
GAUACUAAACCAUAAGUUUGAAACAGAAACAAAGAAAACCAGGAAACCAAAUAAUAGAAAGCAUAGGGAAAAAAUUAAAAAUAACCAAGAAAUAAAGCUCAUAGUUACAUGUAGAAGAAAUAUGCAACAUGUUUGAUAUUUCUCCCAUAUGACAUGGAAGAUCACUGAGAACACAAAAGCUCAGAGAGUUGAGAAGCCAGAGGAAACCAAAUUAUUACCUUGAUAGCACAGCCACAACUGAUAACUUAAUGUGGCUGAAUACCA